UACGAAGGGGGCUAGCGUUGCUCGGAAUCAUUGGGCGUAAAGCGCGCGUAGGCGGCCCGAUAAGUCCGCUGUGAAAGUCAAAGGCUCAACCUUUGAAUGCCGGUGGAUACUGUCGGGCUAGAGUCCGGAAGAGGCGAGUGGAAUUCCUGGUGUAGCGGUGAAAUGCGCAGAUAUCGGGAAGAACACCCGUGGCGAAGGCGGUUCUCUGGGACGGUACUGACGCUGAGACGCGAAAGCGUGGGGAGCGAACAGG
rnacentral:rRNA from 1 species